rnacentral:misc_RNA from 1 species
GAUGAAGAACGCAGCGAAAUGCGAAAAGUAGUGUGAAUUGCAGAAUUCAGUGAAUCAUCGAAUCUUUGAACGCACAUUGCGCCCCUUGGUAUUCCAUGGGGCAUGCCUGUUCGAGCGUCAUUUGUACCUUCAAGCUUUGCUUGGUGUUGGGUGUUUGUCUCGCCUUUGCGUGUAGACUCGCCUUAAAAUAAUUGGCAGCCGGCGUAUUGAUUUCGGAGCGCAGUACAUCUCGCGCUUUGCACUCAUAACGACAGCGUCCAAAAGUACAUUUUACACUCUUGACCUCGGAUCAGGUAGGGAUACCCGCUGAACUUAAGCAUAUCAAUAAGCGGAGGA